rnacentral:rRNA from 1 species
AAUACGGAGGGUGCAAGCGUUAAUCGGAAUUACUGGGCGUAAAGCGCGCGUAGGUGGUUUGUUAAGCUAGAUGUGAAAGCCCCGGGCUCAACCUGGGAAUUGCAUUUAGAACUGGCAGGCUAGAGUACAGAAGAGGACAGUGGAAUUUCUAGUGUAGCGGUGAAAUGCGUAGAUAUUAGAAGGAACACCAGUGGCGAAGGCGACUGUCUGGGCUGAUACUGACACUGAGGUGCGAAAGCGUGGGUAGCAAACAGGAUUAGAUACCCUGGUAGUCCACGCCGUAAACGAUGUCUACUAGCCGUUGGGACCCUUGUUGGUCUUAGUGGCGCAGCUAACGCAAUAAGUAGACCGCCUGGGGAGUACGGUCGCAAGAUUAAAACUC